AUUGAACGCUGGCGGCAGGCUUAACACAUGCAAGUCGAGCGGGGGAAGGUAGCUUGCUACCGGACCUAGCGGCGGACGGGUGAGUAAUGCUUAGGAAUCUGCCUAUUAGUGGGGGACAACAUCUCGAAAGGGAUGCUAAUACCGCAUACGUCCUACGGGAGAAAGCAGGGGAUCUUCGGAACUUGCGCUAAUAGAUGAGCCUAAGUCGGAUUAGCUAGUUGGUGGGGUAAAGUCAUGACAGGGCGACGCUCUGUAGCGGGUCUGAGAGGAUGAUCCGCCACACUGGGACUGCGACACGGCCCAGACUCCUACGGGAGGCAGCAGGGGGGAAGAUUGGACAAUGGGGGGAACCCUGAUCCAGCCGCCGCGUGUGUGAAGAAGGCCUUAUGGUUGUAAAGCACUUUAAGCGAGGAGGAGGCUACUUUAGUUAAUACCUAGAGAUAGUGGACGUUACUCGCAGAAUAAGCACCGGCUAACUCUGUGCCAGCCGCCGCCGUAA
rnacentral:rRNA from 1 species